GAUGAACGCUGGCGGCGUGCCUAAUACAUGCAAGUCGAGCGAACGGACGAGAAGCUUGCUUCUCUGAUGUUAGCGGCGGACGGGUGAGUAACACGUGGAUAACCUACCUAUAAGACUGGGAUCACUUCGGGAAACCGGAGCUAAUACCGGAUAAUAUUUUGAACCGCAUGGUUCAAAAGUGAAAGACGGUCUUGCUGUCACUUCUAGAUGGAUCCGCGCUGCUUUAGCUAGUUGGUAAGGUAACGGCUUACCAAGGCAACGAUGCAUAGCCGACCUGAGAGGGUGAUCGGCCACACUGGAACUGGGACACGGUCCAGACUCCUACGGGAGGCAGCAGUAGGGAAUCUUCCGCAAUGGGCGAAAGCCUGACGGAGCAACGCCGCGUGAGUGAUGAAGGUCUUCGGAUCGUAAAACUCUGUUAUGAGGGAAGAACAUAUGUGUAAGUAACUGUGCACAUCGUGACGGUACCUAAUCAGAAAGCCACGGCUAACUACGUG
rnacentral:rRNA from 1 species